UUAGGGUUUUUGAAGGAGAUACUGGAACUUCCAAGUGGGAUAUUCAUGAGUGGAGGGACGUAAACUCCAGGUGGCAGGGCUACAGUUUUGAUCACAGUCUGUGGAGAUUCAUUCCUGUCGGGACAAUGAAUUUUAUACUCAUGUUAUAGGUGUUAAAGUUGACAGGAAGCAGCUGAAAGACACAGCCUUGUGGUGCGAGCCGGGCAGCUGGACACUGUGCAUGGAGAAUCUCG